GAUCAUGCGACCGCAUAAAUAUUCUAUGUGAACUUGCGCACAUAAGUGGAUCAUUCUCUUUCUCGUUCUAGGGUUUCGUCGAUCAUAGAUUUGCCCGGGCAAUUUACGGCUUAUCUUCGAUCCUCUUCUAUCUCCGGUCCCCUUGAAAACCUUCCGAUCGAUUGGCGUUCUGAUGGCGGUCGGUUUGUUUCGCAAUUUCUUAAUGUCUCGAACGAUCACAGAUACAAAGAAACGCUCGCAUUUUUCGUUUCGGGUUCUUUCGAAUUAGUCUCCCGCUUCGAGCUGAUUUGUUGGCCUGUUUCUCCGAAAUUUAUAAGGCUGGGGAGGAUUCGAGCGCGCGAGGGACAGAUAGGGAUGAGCGGAAAUCCUAACCCACCUACUGACGUGGAGCCGUCGGGCGCCUCCGGCUUCUCGAGCCACAACCUUUACAACCCGUCAGGCAUUGCAGCAGUACCACGACGCGGAUCACAGCAGCGGCAGCCAUGUCAUAGAAGAGGAUGGGGCUGGAUCUGGGGCCGUGGAGAACCAGGGAAUGGAGAUGGAGCUGCCGUCUGAUCCGAGCCAUCUGGGUGAUGCCCAAGGUCUGAUGGCGUCCCAACUGGGCGGUAAUCAGUUGACGCUUUCCCUCCAAGGCGAAGUCUUUGUUUUCGAUUCCGUUUUCCCUGAAAAGGUUCAAGCCGUGCUUUUGUUGCUGGGCGGCCGGGCGUGAAUCCUUUUCCAACAUCUUCUACGCAAAACAUGGUUUUGUAUAUUACUACAAGAUCUCAGCUUGUUUUCACUGAAUUUCAUUUCUGUCUUCCAAGAAUUAGGUUGCUUUUAUAUUUUUUAUAUUUUAAUAUUUCAAAGCACCUUGCUUCACUCGAGCGAGCGCCUAGCGCCUCGGAUAUUUUGGGACCAUGAUGCCUUUUGGCGCCUAGCAUUUUUUAAAUCACUGGACUAAAGUGUGAAGGGUUUCUCAAAAUGAGGCAGCAUUUGCCUUACAUAGGUUUUGCACUUCCUACCCUUUAAAACAGAAACUUAUAAUUGCUUGAAGAAGUCAUUUUUGGUAAUCUUAUUCUAAUAUACAAAAUGCAAAACAUUUUCAUUAUAUAACAUUCGAUUGGGAGAGGAAGUCACAAUACAGAUAUGAAAGUUGAAAAGUUUGGUUUGACUUCCUGUUGACGUUUAGGAUGGAGAGGGUGGAAAUCAGAUAUCACAUUGUUUGGGGCAUCCUAUUUGAGAGAGCAUUGAGUUACUAAUCAGUAGUAUUUUUAAAAGUGCUAGGCGGCCAAGGUACCAAAAUGCUCGAGACAGUAGGUGCUUACUUAGGUACCCACCUGAGCGAAGCGAGACACUCUCCAAUAUUAAAUUUUAAAAAAUAUAUAUUAUUAUUAUGUUCUAGUAGUGUUUUCAAAAGGGGGUGAAAUUUGAGGUGGGUGCUAACUUCUAAGCAGUGUUUUCAUAUCAAUGUGAUAUUCCUACCUAAGUGAACUUAAAACCCCUAAGUUCUAACUCCUAAUAGAUUUAGAACAUGAACAAGGUGCAUCUAAUGUGGACCUAUGUUAUAGAGGUUUCUAACUAGUGCAAACAAAGGCAACAAUAGUGGACGAAACUCCUAAGUUCUAACUUCUGACAGAUUUAGAACAUGAACAAAAUGGUGCAUCUAAUGGAGACCUAUGCUAUAGAGGUUUCUAACUAGUGUGGACGAAGGCGAUGGCGACGGAUGAAGAUGCAGUUGAAGGCGGCAAUGGCGAACGAAACUAUGGACGAAGUUAUGGAUGGUGGCAAUGAUGGUGGAUGUAGGGUUUUGCUUCGGGUUUGUUUCACUAGGUUAGGCGCGGGGGGGCGGGGGGAAGGGGGGAUGUUGUGUAUUUUGUGUUACAGUAACAUUAGUUGGUUCGAUUGUGUCGACUUGCUCGUUCAAUCGAACCAGGCUCGAACCCAGACCCAACUUCACUCGAGCGCUCGCUUGAGGUGUCCGACACCUAGGCUCAAGCGAGCACCCAAGCACAACUUCAUCGAAACGCCUUGCCCGAGUGCCUAGGCGAGCACCCAAGCGCCUUUUGAAAACACUGGAUUAGAGGCUUGUCACUCUUUCUAGUCAUAACCAGGGGCUUGUUCUAGGAAAUUUUACCUAAUUAAUUUUUAAUAGUGUCUUUACCAAACAUCUCUUUUAUUUUCUAUUAUUAAAAAUAACUUUUAAGUCAUGAAGAUCAAAUGAACCUUAAAAAAUAAAGGAGAAUAUGUGUUUUCAAAAGCAGAAAAAAGAUCAACAGCAUGAAAAAUGCCUUGAACUUUUGGUGACAUAUAGAAUUGACGAUUAUGGUGUACAAAAGCUUUUAUUACUUUCUUCAAGUGUAUUAACAUUUGUGUAGGUCUAUCUCUUAGCCAAAAUAUUUGAAACAGAAUAGAAUUUAGAAGUCAACAAGUUAGCAGAAAAAGAUUUACCUCUUAGAUGUUAAAAAGUACUCUUGAAUUUUUUUAUCUAUAACUGGGAAAAUGUUAUAUUUUGACAAGAAAAUCUUGAUUUAUUUGGAAAAUUUUUAACAGACAGUGGAAUUGUUCUUAUUGAAAAUAUAAAAUUACAUUAAUAUUGGCAUUUUCCUUGUAUAUUCUUGUAGUUAGAAUAUCAUGUAUUGUACCUAAGAAUGACUAUCAAAUUAUGUAUUACCUUUUUAUUGUUUUAUAUAAAAAUUUCUAGGUGUCAAAGUUUUCGUUUGUAUUUAUAAAAAUAUAUAUAUGCAUAUAUUAUAAAUAUGCUUUACAUGUGUCAUUUGUGGUGUUUCCAAUCAUGUACUCAGAAUUUUGCCAAAUCAUAGUAGUUGAAUGUCUUUCUUAGUAGAUCUAUAGAUAGCUAUGCUUCUUAAACGAUGGUUAUUAUAGGAAAAAAAUACAAAAUCAUGCACUUUUAAUAACCAAGGAAGUUUCUCCUUUUCUUUUAACUCUGUAAAGAAAAAUCACAAACUUCUAUGUAGAUCGACUUCAACUGGCCAUUAAGGUAAAUUGUGUUGCCAUAAACUUGCAACCAUGGUUUUGAUGUGACACACUUAGGCACUUGUUCAUCUUGGGUGGCACAGUGCAAAUUCUUUUAUGCAUUCAUGAAGAGAUGCACAUUAAAUGAAAAUGGAUUUGACAGUUUUAUUAUUUUUAUAGGCUAAUUAUGACCAGCUUAGGCCUUAAUGAUCAGCAUAGACACCAAAUAUCAUAAGUAUAUAUACUCAUGGCAUUAUGCAUUUAGGUUGCCGUGUCAACUGGUACAUAGACAUGGGUGUGAUCAACAAAGCAGGACCAUAGGGGAAGUUAAAUGAGUAUCACUUGUCAUCUUCUCAGAAGUUGUAUAAAGUUUUAACCAUUGGAAGUUGAAAUUUUGAUUGAUCUGGUGAUUCAUGCACAUAAAAUCUCUCCAUCCAUCUCUUAUUUAGAAUACCGACAGUAGGUGCUUGCUAGACUUAAUUUUCAUAUAGCAUUGGGUGAUUGACAGUUGAUGCUUCCCAACUAAUAAUGAUCAAGCAGACUAUUUGCACUUCAGGCUGCUUUUUGACGUUGUCAACUUCAACUGAACAAGAGCAUUGAUUAUCAUAGUUCCUUUGGGUAUAUGUAAGCUAUCUUCAUCAGUUUGGUGAUUUUUAAUAUUUUUAAUACAAUUGGAUCUUCACUACAAUUCUUGCAUACAAAUCAUACUUCUCUUGGUGUAAAACAAUUAUUCAUUUGAAGGUUCUAGGUGGAGUUGUAUGCGUGCUGCACUGCCUCAUGCCCUUAGGCUACCUGAACUAGCCAAGGGAACUGACAUGUGAGGUACAAGCAAAACUUCUGGUAUUAGUCUUUCAUGAUUAUUUGUUUGAGUGUUCCACAUCAGUGUUAUCUUGCUAGGUUAAGUUUCUGGCAUAAAGCACCGACAUCUACCAAGUACUCUGCCCACAUGGUAUUAUUGGAUGUGAGGCAUGAGGCUAUGGCUUGAUGACUUUUGCUACAAAAAUGAAAGUCUUGCUAUCUGCCAGUGCUAUUUUUUAUUUAACCUUCUUCCCUGUUCCUUUUCAAAGAUGAUUUCUAGUUUCUUUUUUGGCUUGCUACAUGAUGCAACGGAAUAGGGGGUCAAUUUACAUCAUCCAAAACAAAAACUGAAGAUGCUAUGGGCGGUGCUGCCACUUCUGAUGCAAACCAAAAUUGGGUUUCUCUAGACAAUAAGACCCCGGCCGCAUCUGUGUUGAAUUGGACAUUUCUAGAUUUCUCAAAAUUGUCAAAUCUUAGGACUUGAGGUAUUUUACAAGAUGUCAUCACUGUGGCAUCAGCGCAAAGUCUACACCAAUGAUGCGCCGUGGGCCUGAUGGACCAAGGACCUUAUGUAAUGCAUGUGGACUUCUGUGGGCUAACAAGCAUAUUCAAAAUCAAGGGACUUUGAUCUGGAUCAUGACCAGCUGGAGCUGAUCUCAGGACAAUGAACACAUUAGGUUUGUCCGCUUUGAGGUCUCGUGGAACAGUGGAAUGAUGGACUGGAUCUGGAUGGAAUCAUUUGUUUUCAUUGAUCCUGAUGAAUUCAGCAUGUAAAGCUUGUUUUGGCAUUGGUAUGAAGAAAAAUGAGAGAUUGGAUUGACAGUCGCCUCAUCAACAGAGCAUGGCAGAUCUAGCUGGUGCUAUGGAGACUGUUCCAGUAAGUGGGAUCUGCAGUUGCUGAGUUGCUCAACUGAAUGGAUAUGGUGACUGUUCUGUUCCAAGACUCUGGUGGGUGGCAUCACUCCACAAGAUGCAAAAAUCUUGAGAAUAUUGAGAGGAAAAAAAAUGGUACUUGAAAAAGAACAGCAAAGAACUUCAACAAAAGAUAACAGAUCUUUUUCUCUGCUGGUCCAGAAAGGGAACAAUGAGGUAUCUCGCGAAAAAUCCAUCCCCAGCUAUUCCAAAUGCCUUGCCAGCACAAAAAGAAGGGAACAACUCUGCCAACUUGGAGUUAUCGCAGCCAAUGGCCAUGACACAUCAUGAGAAGAGUGCUGUGCUUGUGGAAAUAACAGGGUGGCACAGCCAUGCUUGGCCUCGCCGGAUUGUGUAAUGCUAUCCAACAUGUUCCAUAGCAUUCUGAUCACCAUUGUGCAGAGAAUAUGUUUGCUUACAUUGAUCUCAAGGGGGGGAUGGGGAAGCGAUUGCUCUAUGUAAAGAUAGAAGACCUGAAUCCUAGUAUUUCUCAGGUAUCCAUCAGCAACUGUGGCACUGAAAACAAGAAAAGAUUUCACAUGCAGUCAGUCAUAAAUACCCUCGUGAAAACUAAAAGUCAGCAUCGUCUUGAAACCAUCAUCUUACUGUGUUCAACCUGCAUGUUGUUGAGAGGAUAUUGUUGUAUGUGGAUAUGACUUUUAUACUAGGCAGUUUGCUGGCAUUUAUUACCCACAA